rnacentral:rRNA from 1 species
GAUGAACGCUGGCGGCGUGCUUAACACAUGCAAGUCGAACGAGAAAUGGAGACGGAAACCUUCGGGCGGAAGACUUUAUUUCGAGUGGCGGACGGGUGAGUAACGCGUGGGUACCCUGCCUCAUACAGGGGGAUAACAGUUGGAAACGACUGUUAAUACCGCAUAAGACCACAGCACCGCAUGGUGCGGGGGUAAAAACUCCGGUGGUAUGAGAUGGACCCGCGUUCGAUUAGCCAGUUGGCGGGGUAACGGCCCACCAAAGCGACGAUCGAUAGCCGAUCUGAGAGGAUGACCGGCCACAUUGGGACUGAGACACGGCCCAAACUCCUACGGGAGGCAGCAGUGGGGAAUAUUGCACAAUGGGGGAAACCCUGAUGCAGCGACGCCGCGUGAGUGAAGAAGUAUUUCGGUAUGUAAAGCUCUAUCAGCAGGGAAGAAAAUGACGGUACCUGAGUAAGAAGCCCCGGCUAACUACGUG